UUUCGAGGUCUCGAAAUCAAGCAUCUGAAAGCACACAAUUUUAUUGUGUGAUUAGGUGGGGUUUUUUCUUCAUUACUUCGCAAAUUCGACGGCCACUUGAGUUCAAAUUUCACAGGUUUGUCAUUUGAUGCAUAAUGUUGAGAUACACCAAGUGAGAAGACUGGUCUUUAACAAUUACCGAUAGUGUCCAGUGUCUUUAAAGCUUUUCUCCGUUUUCCCACUUCAAUUUCUUGAGAUGGGAGCUCUGUAUUUCGUUUCCUAAUCUCUCUUGGUACAUUAAUAGUAAUUAUAUUAAUAGCUCUGUAGAAAUUGGAUGUUAAAUACUGCGUCAUUGAAGCAUUUAAUUGGACUCGUUAAUGGUUUUAGUACGAAACUGUCUGCUACUUGUGAAGCUAAAUACGAGGUUGUCGUGCACUUGUGAAGCUGGGCACGAUGAAUUGUCGGGUACUUGUGAGUUGCUUCCAUUUUGGAAAAAAAAGUAAACCAACAAAGGUGCUUUAUGACAUUCAUGCAAAACUAGGUUCAUUGAUCUUGAUGGAUCUGUACAGUAUAAAGCUUCGAAGAUCGGGAGGUCAUUCUUGUUUUUUGUUCCAAACCAAUACUUACAUCUCCAUAAUUUUCACCAUUUUGUUAUAAAUAUUACUUUUUAUUUGCUGUCGAUAUUUUUUCCGACGAAGUUAGAGUUUCAGUGUGUUAAAACUUUCUCUGUGACGAGUACCUGUACUAUCAAAGGGGUACUCGAGAAGAACUGGAGCGCGAGUGCUAAAGUAUUACUAAGUACGUUUCCGUACUCGUCGUCAAAGUUAAUCAAAGGAUUAGCGACGUCUACCAUUUUCCGGGGUUCAGUGAAAGAAAUUAAAUAAGAAGUUUAAGACAAAAGAAAGAAGGUUUUUAUGGCAUAAUCUUACUGUCAGCAUUUUAUUUCCAAAACAAAAUAAGCUAAUAACAAUAUUUUUUAUAUACGUAUAGGAUUUCAUCCUACAAUAAAUGAGGCAGUACAAAAUCAUUAAUAUUA